CUUAAUCCCCUGGAACUGGGCUAGCCUGUGACUUGCUUGACUAGCAGUGAGCUGCUUGUGCACCAGAGCCUGGGUAUCAAGAGGCCUGGCCCACUCCUUCCUUUGCUCCUGGAAUGCUGCAUGAUGCUCCGAAACGGUCCUGGAAGAAAACCCACAUGGACACAACCCAAUUUCCCCAGCUCCUACAGUCAGGUCCAGUCCCCAGCCAACAUACAGCUGAACACAGCAGCAUGAGAGACCCAAGGACAUGAGUAGAACUUGCUGGACAACUCAUAGAAUAGUGGACAACACACAAGUGCAUAAGACAAUGCACUUUGGGGUAGCUUGUUACACAGCAGAUCACGGACAACCCCCCCACCACCACCAUAUCCUUGUGUAGUGAAUGAGCGGGUGAGUGAGUGUGUGUAAUUCUCAGAAUUACCCUGCAGUCUACCUAGUGGGCAAACAAGUUUUGAACGUUGGCCUACAGCAAGGUCGGACCAACUCAUUCCCCUGCUAAACACCCAACAGUGAUUUUCCAUUGACCUUGGGACCAAGUCUAAGUGACAGUCCAGCAAGGAGAGGUUGGGGUCCUGCUGAUUUCUCCCACCUCAUCCNCUUCAGCAACUUAGUGAAUUAAUACACACACACACUUGCGCGCGCACACACACACACACAUAUAUACACACGUAUGGCUGGGGAUAUGGCGCAGUGCCCCUGGGUUCAAUUAUCCCUGGUGCCAAAAUAAAUAAAAAAACAAACACAAAGAAUCUUUGCACUGUUUUAAUAUUACUAAGUUUCACCAGACCCAGCAGGGCUCACCUAUAAUCCUAGUGGCUUAAGAGGCUGAGGCAGGAGGAUCUCAAGUUGAGGCCAUCCCCAGAAACAGUGAGACCCUGUUUCAAAGUAAAAAAUAAAAAGAUCUGGGGGUGUAGGUUAGUGGCAGAUUGCCCAUGGUUCAAUUCCCAGUACCUAAAACAAAAC
rnacentral:lncRNA from 1 species